GGAUGUGAGGGUAACCUGGCUGGGACAUCUGCCACCCCACUGAUCCCCAGGGUCGACUCACCUGAUCUUACUCGCUAGGCAGGUGUCCCCUUCCUCCCUCCCCACUCCAGGUGCAUCCCUCCUGAAGCUCCACUCUCAGUGGAAGAGGAUGCUAUGGCUUGUGUUCAGAUGUCCCCCCCAAAGUGGUGUGUGGAUGAGG
rnacentral:snRNA from 1 species